GACGAACGCUGGCGGCGUGCCUAACACAUGCAAGUCGAACGGGGGCCCGCAAGGGUUCAGUGGCGAACGGGUGCGUAACACGUGAAGAAUUUGUCCAACGGCGGGGGAUAGCCGGCCCAACGGCCGGGUAAUACCGCGUACGACCCUCGGGGGGCAUCCCCUGAAGGUGAAAGCCGCAAGGCGCCGAUGGAGAACUUCGCGGCCUAUCAGCUAGUUGGUGGGGUCAUGGCUCACCAAGGCGACGACGGGUAGCNGGUCCGAGAGGAUGACCAGCCACAUUGGGACUGAGACACGGCCCAGACUCCUACGGGAGGCAGCAGUGGGGAAUAUUGCGCAAUGGGCGAAAGCCUGACGCAGCGACGCCGCGUGUGGGAUGACGGCC
rnacentral:rRNA from 1 species